GGAUUUCUGGGUUUUCAGGCUGCGAACCCGACUUCUCUUGGUAUGGUUUCCUUUCUCUCGUCGUCCUCAUCAUUCUAGGGUAAUUAUUUUUCAGUUUAGAUUGAAGUUUAUUGACUUUAGUUUUUGGGAUUUCUGGGCUGUCUCUCUGCCCUUGACGGAAUUUGUCCCCGCCGGCAACCUCCUCUAUUUUUGGGUUUGGUUUUGGUCUCUGCUGCGUUAGUGAACAAGGACUUUGAAGGGUUGCUGAGUUUUGGGUCAUUGAUUCUUCAACAAGAAGUUUUGGGCAGUGAAGGAGCAAGUUCUGUUUUGACGCAUCGAAGGUAAAUUCGAAAAGUAAAUUAGAGUUUAUUGUUGGUUGCUGAAUUGGUAUAAAUUUGAUAAUAUUGAAGAUGUUUGAGUUGUGCAUUUCGUUGUGGCUAGUUCUAUGAAAGUCUGGUGCCUAGUUGUGUAUUACUGUGUUUAUGUUGAUUAUGGACCAGUUGGAAGUUAAGUUUCUGUUUAGUUGUUAUAAUUAGAAUGAAAUGGGAUGUUGGCGUUUGAUAAAUAGAAAGAUGCUGAAAGUAUUUGGGUUGUGUUGUGUGUGGCUAAUUCUGCAAAGAUUGACACUUUGUGUACUGCUGUGUUCAUGUUGAAGUAUAUAGGGAGGUUAUAGUGAAUGGGAUGAAGGGCUGGUCAUGGUAUUGAAAUCUAAUGGAAAUUACCUAUUUGGUAGUGAAUUGAGAAUUUGGUUUAAUUGUUAUUAAGGGUCUCUUAUGUAUAAUUGUCUUGGCUGGAAAGAAAGGUUGAUAUUGGUUUUAAAAGAGUCUAGUUAUGGUGAUUGAGAUAUAAGGCUGAGAAGAUGGUGUUUGGUCUAGAAUUUGGAAUCAUGUAUUUAGUAUUGAAGUAUUGAACUGUGAAGUUGGUUUCUUCUAAUGAGUGUGUGGAGCAUGCACCAAAUGAACUAAUCUCUCAUUCUUUUUGUUGUUGAUUUGGUCAAUAUGUAGGUAUAAGUGUUUGCAGAAGAUUCCGAGGUCAUUUUGCGACUUGAAGCCCCGUUGAGAGGAAUGACAUCAAUGUUGACAUCGUUAAUAGGUUUCGGUAUAUCAUUUCUAGAAAUAGAUUAGGUCCAUAUAUUCAUUUUAGUGAAUAGAUAUUAGAUUGAAAGUUGGACCAUAACUUAUAGCCUUUUAUGGAUUAGGAUAAAAAUAUAUUAUGUACUUUUUUAAUUGAAAUGGAUUAUCAAC
rnacentral:lncRNA from 1 species